rnacentral:misc_RNA from 1 species
GCGUGAGCCGCGGGUUCCGCAUCGCCAGUACGCGCCUCGAGGCGAUCGCCGAGAUCUUCAACCUGUUCAACGCGAAGAACCCCGUCCUGAAUCUCACGCAGAACGCGUCACCGACGCCGGCGUCGGUGAGAGCGCAGUUCAUGCAGCCGGCGGGAUAUGCCGGCGACGUGGGCCAGCCGGAACAGCGGGUGGGGCAGGUCGGGUUUCGCUUCACGUUCUAGACGUAGGACGGGACGCGUCGCUCGACGAUGCUCGGGACGCCCUGAGCAGAGUCGAAGGGCGCAGCGCCCCGCCGCUGAUGCGGGGCCGCUGUGCGGUCCCGGCCUACUCUCUCCCAGCUAUCGUCUCGAACUGGCGGCAGAUGAUUCAGCUCGUGGCCGGCGCACCAGGCGGUAAGCCACUCCACCGUCACGACACCCCAUUCAGGAUGACUCGCUUCGCGGAGCCGCAUGUGACGGCGUGAGCGACUUCAAGAGCGCGACGUUCAUCGAACGCAGGCCGAGAUACGCGUCCAGCGACGUCAGCGCCGGCGGCGCCGGCUCCUCGCGCAUCCAGUCAUCCUGCUCGAACGGCUGAAUCCGAUACUCGUCCUGCGCAAGCGCGAAGCGGAUGCGGGUGCCGAACACGAUCUCGAGAUGGACGAGAUGCUCCAGGAUCUGCCGCGCCGUCCACUUGCCGGUCGCGUACGAUUCGUCGUCUUUGGAGCGCGGCCAGGCGCGAACCAUCGAGGCGAUGCGCGCCGCGGUCUCGUCGAGGCUGCGCAGGGGAUCGCGACCCUCGAUGUACUUUCCGUACGGGUUCGGAGUCAUGACCUUAUCCUAGCUGGUAGGCGGUAGGCGGUAGGAGGGGGUAGCCUGUAGCCUGAAGCCCGUUGCCGUUCAGACGACGAUGAUCAACGACGCGCACUGCCAUUUCUUCUCGACCGAGUUCUUCGAUACGCUCGCCCGGCAACGUGGCGCCGAUCCGUCGGGCGCGCAGCUCUGCGCCGACCUCGGAUGGGACCCGCCGGGAACCGCCGGGACACUGGCGGACCGGUGGGUACGGGAGCUCGACGCCAACGGCGUCCGCCGCGCCGCGAUCAUCGCAAGCCUGCCGGGAGAUGAAACGUCCGUGGCGGCCGCCGUCGGCCGGCAUCCAGACCGGUUCGUCGGCUUCUUCAUGCUCGACCCCGCGGGUUCGGACGCCGUCAACCGCACCAGGCGCGCGGUCACCGAGCUUGGGCUGCGCGGCAUCUGCUUGUUCCCGGCCAUGCAUCACGUGCCGCUGGACGACGAGCGCGUGCAAGCCGUGGUCGACGUUGCCGCGCAGACGCCGGGCACCGCGGUCUUCGUCCAUUGCGGCAUGUUGUCGAUUGGCGUGAGGAAGAAGCUCGGGCUGCCGAGCCGCUUCGCGCUGAAGCUUGGCGACCCGCUUGCCGUCGCACGGCUGGCCUCCGCGUUUCCAUCGGUACCGUUUCGUCAUCCCGCACUUCGGCGCCGGCAUGCUCCGCGAGGCCCUGAUGGCGGCCGACGCCUGCCCGAACGUCCACUUCGACACCUCAAGCUCGAACAGCUGGAUUCGCUACACGCCGGGACUGACACCUCGAAGCCGUCUUCGCCGCCGCGCUGGCCGUAAUGGGACCGUCACGGCUGCUCUUCGGCACCGACUCGUCGUUCUUUCCGCGCGGUUGGCAGAAGGCGAUCGCCGAGCGGCAGCAGACACUGCUCGGCGGGAUGACCAAUCUGACCGACGACGAGCGCGCGCUCAUCCUGGGGGGCAACUUCGAGCGCUUGUUCCCCAGGUAGCUCUUUCAAAAGCCCAAAUCCCAAAACCCAAAACCCAGGAUCCCAAAUCCCAGAUCCCAACAAAUCCCAACGCCGGCACACGGGGAUCUUUGGGAUCUGGAUUUGGGAUCCUGGUUUUGGGUUUUGGGAUUUGGGCUUUUGAAAGAGCUACCUGGGGAACAAGCGCU